UACAGAGGGUGCGAGCGUUAAUCGGAAUUACUGGGCGUAAAGCGCGCGUAGGCGGCUUUGUAAGUCGGUUGUGAAAUCCCCGGGCUUAACCUGGGAACUGCAUCCGAGACUGCAUGGCUAGAGUAUGGGAGAGGGAAGUGGAAUUCCAGGUGUAGCGGUGAAAUGCGUAGAUAUCUGGAGGAACACCGGUGGCGAAGGCGGCAUCCUGGACCGGCACUGACGCUGAUGAGCGAAAGCCAGGGGAGCAAACGGG
rnacentral:rRNA from 1 species